rnacentral:rRNA from 1 species
UACGGGGGGGGCAAGCGUUGUUCGGAAUUACUGGGCGUAAAGGGCUCGUAGGCGGCCAACUAAGUCAGACGUGAAAUCCCUCGGCUUAACCGGGGAACUGCGUCUGAUACUGGAUGGCUUGAGUUUGGGAGAGGGACGCGGAAUUCCAGGUGUAGCGGUGAAAUGCGUAGAUAUCUGGAGGAAUACCGGUGGCGAAGGCGGCAUCCUGGACCGACAUUGACGCUGAGGAGCGAAAGCUAGGGGAGCAAACGGG